rnacentral:ncRNA from 1 species
CGGAGCCGUAUGACGCAAGAGUGUCACGUACGGUUCUAUAAAAGGUUGAAAUAACAUUGCUAAAAUUCCUGGAAACUCAAGAGUGAUAAAUUGAAGCUGCAAAACUUAUUAAAACAAUAGAAAAUAGAUAUUUCUUCCAACCUUGGU